rnacentral:lncRNA from 1 species
UUCGCUCUUCUCCCUCACCUCUCCCGUAACUCUCUUUCUCUACACUUUCCAAUCUCUCAAAACCCUAUCCUUCCCUCUCUCGCCAUGACCACUCACUCAUCCUUGCGCAUGCAUAGCCGCACCCCGCUCGAGGAAACCAUCAUCACCAUCUAAAUCUUGUUCUCUCUCUCUCUCCCUCUCAUCUUUGCGAGGUCGACAAACCCAGGAAGGAUCUCCGGCGAGUCCCUUCUAUAUUUCCGGUUAGGUAAGCCUCGGGUUUCCUUCCUUCCGUUUUAGAUUGUUGAUUGGAUGUGAUUAUUGAGUUUAUCUCAUUAUUUCAAGGUUGAGGACGAAACCAUCGCGGGGGAAGGCACACCCAACUUCACAGCGGACCCGUGUCCUUCAAGGGUUUUUCAGAGCACUCACGGCCAUUUCACGGCAAAGAAAGGGUAUGGAAAUACUCUACCCUCUUCCCUCUUCAUUUUGGUGUAUAGUUUGAACCCUAGUUUGCUAGAAAACCGCCGCCCGGAGCUGUAGCAGCUUCGGCUUUCUCCUCCGAUCACCACGUAGGCUCUUCAGGCCACCCAAAGCACCCUGGACCUUAGGCCCGUGUUUGGGCCAGCCCAAAAACACCAAAACCCAGCCCAAUUAUAAAUUUUAUUUCCUUUAUUUAUUUUGUUGACCCACUGGGCCUUAGGGCCUUUUCCUUUUAUUUGGGGCUUAAAGCCCGGUUUUUGGUAACUAGGCCUGCGGGCAGUGCCUUGUGGGUGUGUAUGGGCUGUGUGUGUUGUGUGGUAUGUCCGUGUGUGUGUGUGUGUACGUGUGUGUAAUUGCAUGAGUGCAUGCGUGUGGUGUGUGUAUGUGUAUAUGCAUGUAGUGCAUGCAUGUGCAUGCCGUGCAUGUGUGUGUUUGUGUAGUGUAUGUGUGUGUUGGUUGUGUGGCCCAAACCACCAUUUUCACCCAAAACCCUUUUAACCCAAAAACCUUAGGAUCCUAAAACCUAUUAGGGUCUAACCCAUCCAACCCAAAUCCUUUCAUUUUAUUUAAUUCAAGCCCAAAUUCUUUAGAAAACCCUUUUAUUUAUUUAUUACUAUUUUUGUGCUUAGGUGCAAUUAUUGUGGCUUUUGCAUAUUCGCUAGCUGCGCGGCUUUCGAUGGCAAAGUACUGUGAGUAGACCUCUUCUAAAAUUAUAUGAUUUUAUAGUUUAAUUGCAUAAAUGAAUAGCAUGCCGUACGAGUUUAUGAUUUGAUUUAUGUUAAGUUUGUUUAUUAAAUAUAUUGAUUUUCGUCUCGUGUUUUUGGUGAGGAAUUAACUGUUGGCCUGUAUUGAGCUGUAUUUUGGAAUAUCGUAUUUUCUAUAAAAACCAUGAACUGGUAGACUAUCUGAUGGAUGACGAUAGGAUGCUAGAACAUGUUUUAGAAACCCCUCUUUAUAGUAUAGACGAUGGAUGACUUUAUACUAUGAGGUGGUUAUUUAUGAGAGACGUAACUAUUUGUGCGUACCUAGUGGACACUAUGCUGCCUGGGGCAAGGAUCUGGUGUUGGCAGAUAGGCUGAGAGAAAUAACCCCUAGCUACGGGCUGAAGGACAUGGAGAAGGCAUUGGGCCGGGAGUUGGUAAUCUCUGGCUACAAGCGCAGAGACCACGGAGCAGGCAUUGGGCUAAGAGUUAUAUUUAUUCAGUGAUCUUUCUAGCAGCACACCGCGCUUACGAGACGAUCUAUAAGACGUUACUAUUUUGAUUUCUACGAUGUUAUUCCGCGAUAUGACUUUUAAGAUAUAUUUGGCAUGCUAGAUUUUUUAUUAAAUCCAUCACUUAUUAUGUUAGUAGUUUUCUUUAUAUAUAAACCUGGGGGUUAGUAUGUUCAUAACUGUUUUUGUAUUAUGUAUAUAUAUGAACUUGGUCCACUCACCUUUGUUUUGCGCCCCCUUUCAGGAUUUAGAAUCGAGGCAUACGAUCCCGACAUCAACGCUUUCGCAUAGGCAUAUUCGAGUCCUCUUUGGUGUAGGACCCACAUCCUUUUAUUUAUUCAAUUUUAUAUUAAUUCUUUUAGAGCUCUAGUUAGUUGUAUGCUCUGAACACGUUCCUAAAUUUUUAAUUCAUUAUAUUUUAAAUUCAUAACCUUUAUUUAUUUCUUAUUCUUAGCUUUUGUAUCAAUUAAUGGCUUUCGUCACCCUCGGGUGUCGGCCAUCAUGUGUCUAUCUUGGUAUUCGAGGAAUAUCAGGGUCGGGGCGUGCUAGUUGGAUUUUUGGAUCGCCGGGCCCCCCACUCUAACGAUACCGAUAUUGUCUCUAACCUUACCACCUACCCAAUCUGUCAAGUGUGAUGUUUUACAACAAAAAACUUCGGUAUUAGUUAGAGUAGGGUAAUCCUAUUUAAACCCCUUGGUUUUCUUUCUCACCACCGAUGUGGGACUUAAACACUCCCCCUCAUGUGUAACCCCAUUUAGUGGUUCACACGUGAAGAUCCACAUUGGUAAUUGAAACUCAGAGGUCGGCUCCAAUGGAGUCCAAACUUGUUUCCAAUGGAACUCAGCGGUCGUCUCUAUGUUAAGAGUUCAGACUUGUUUCAUUUGGUGACAAGCUCAUUGUUGGCUUGCACGGGUCCGAAUCGUGGACUCUGAUACCAUGUUGGAUUUUUGGAUCGCUGGGCCCACCCCACUCCAACGACACCGAUAUUGUCCCUAACUUUACUAGCUGCCCAAUCCGUCAGGUGUGAGGUUUUAUCACAAAAGGCUAGGGUAAUCCUAUUUAAACCCCUUGGUUUUCUUUCCCA